rnacentral:rRNA from 1 species
GAUCCUGGCUCGGGAUGAACGCUAGCUACAGGCUUAACACAUGCAAGUCGAGGGGAAACGAUAUUGAAAGCUUGCUUCUUAGGCGUCGACCGGCGAAUGGGUGAGUAACGCGUAUCCAACCUGCCCCUGAGUAAGGGAUAGCCCAUCGAAAGAUGGAUUAAUACCUUAUGGUUUCCUUUGAAGGCAUCAGAUUAGGAAUAAAGAUUUAUCGCUGAGGGAUGGGGAUGCGUCUGAUUAGCUUGUUGGCGGGGUAACGGCCCACCAAGGCGACGAUCAGUAGGGGUUCUGAGAGGAAGGUCCCCCACAUUGGUACUGAGACACGGACCAAACUCCUACGGGAGGCAGCAGUGAGGAAUAUUGGUCAAUGGGCGCAAGCCUGAACCAGCCAAGUAGCGUGCCAGGAUGACUGCCCUAUGGGUUGUAAACUGCUUUUAUACGGGGAUAAAGUCAGAGUCGUGACUCCGUUUGCAGGUACCGUAUGAAUAAGGACCGGCUAAUUCCGUGCCAGCCGCCGC